UAAGCGGAGGAAAAGAAACUAACAAGGAUUCCCCUAGUAACGGCGAGUGAAGUGGGAAGAGCUCAACUUUGUAAUCUGGCUGCUUCGCAGUCCGAGUUGUAGUCUAAAGAAGCAUGAUCCGCGCCGGACCUUGGGCAUGUCUGUUGGAAAGCAGUGUCAAAGAGGGUGAUAAUCCCGUACAUACCAAGGACGACCGUGUGCAUUGUGGUCUGCUCUCUAAGAGUCGAGUUGUUUGGGAAUGCAGCUCUAAUUGGGUGGUAAAUUCCAUCUAAAGCUAAAUAUCGACGAGAGACCGAUAGCGAACAAGUACAGUAAUGGAAAGAUGAAAAGUAGCCUGCAGAGGCAAUGAAACAAUACGUGAAACCGUUUGUAGGGAAGCGAUGGAACCUUUUCACGCUGCGAGGGUUCAGCCUUUCUUCGGAUUGGUGUAUUCCCUCGUUUUGCGGACCAGCAUCAGUUUGCUUGGCAGUAUAAGGGUGUUUGGAACGUGGCUCCCACGGGAGUGUUAUAGCCUUUCACUGGAUGCUGCCUCGCAGACUGAGGACUGCAGUGCGCCAUUAUGGCAUAGUCUUCGGGCUACGAGCACUUAGGAUGCUGGGCGAAUGGGUUUCAACGACCCGUCUUGAAACACG
rnacentral:rRNA from 1 species